UACGGAGGGUGCGAGCGUUGUUCGGAAUUACUGGGCGUAAAGGGCGUGUAGGCGGCGAUUUAAGUCGGGUGUGAAAGUCCAGGGCUCGACCUUGGGAGUGCAUCUGAAACUGGAUUGCUUGAGUAUGGGAGAGGGAAGUGGAAUUCCCGGUGUAGAGGUGAAAUUCGUAGAUAUCGGGAGGAACACCUGUGGCGAAAGCGACUUCCUGGACCAAUACUGACGCUAAGGCGCGAAAGCGUGGGGAGCAAACAGGAUUAGAUACCCUGGUAGUCCACGCUGUAAACGAUGAGCACUAGGUGUGGGAGGUAUUGACCCCUUCUGCGCCGUAGCUAACGCAUUAAGUGCUCCGCCUGGGGAGUACGGCCGCAAGGUUAAAACUCA
rnacentral:rRNA from 1 species